UUCGGUUAUGCCUGUUGUACUCUGUGAUGACUCUGGAUAACUUCACUGAUCGCAGUCGGCCUUGUGUCGGCGACGGAUCUUUCAAAUGUCUGCCCUAUCAACUGUCGAUGGUAGGUGACCUGCCUACCAUGGUGAUAACGGGUAACGGGGAAUCAGGGUUCGAUUCCGGAGAGGGAGCCUGAGAAACGGCUACCACUUCUAAGGAAGGCAGCAGGCGCGAAAAUUACCCACUCCCGGCACGGGGAGGUAGUGACGAAAAAUACGAAUACGGGACUCAACUGAGGCUCCGUAAUUCGAAUGAGUACACUUUAAAUCCUUUAACGAGGACCAAUUGGAGGGCAAGUCUGGUGCCAGCAGCCGCGGUAACUCCAGCUCCAAAAGCGUAUAUUAAAGUUGCUGCAGUUAAAAAGCUCGUAGUUGGAUCUGGGUGGUGUGGCGACAUGCCGUUGCUCGUGCUACUGCCUAGACUACGGUCUUGGUGGGAGUGCGGGUCGGUGUAGUUGCCGUGCAA
rnacentral:rRNA from 1 species